UCUCUCUUCUUUCCAACCUUAUAUGCUUCUAUCUCACCUAAACAAGUCUUUAAUUUUCACUUUUGCAAAUAUUGUUCAAAGAACAUAGUAUACAAAUGUGAUGAGUCAAAUUCAAAAAUAUUUGCAGGUUGCUUAAACAAGAUCUCCAGCUUAGCACCUUGAAUGAAUAAUUUGUUGAGAAAAAGUGUCUUUCUUCAAUGGGGUGCGGGGAUCGGUAGUGGAGUCAAGUUUUUAGGCGCAAAUAUGGGUGAUUUGGUUAUUUGGAGUGCAAUGAAAAACAGGGAAAAGAGUUGUUGCACUUUUAUUUGAAGUAUAAAUUAGAACCAUAACUUUUAAUAUUUUUGAAAAAGAAGUUUAAUGUUGAUGUUAUUACACUUUUAAUAUUUUUGAAAUAGUGUGUUAUGGAUCUAUGUAGCUGGCUGAGUUGUGAGUUGAAUUGGAAAAAGUUGGACUGAAAAAAGUAGAAAACUUGUCGUACUAAAAGUUGAAUAUAUUAGUGUUAUUAGACCAUGUGCAAUGGUGGGUUGAUUUGAAGUCAACAUGGGAAAAUCAUGUGCAAUGGUGUGUGUAAAGUAGUGUUGAGUGUGUGUUGGAGGAGAGAGAUGUUGAGAAAACUCAACACCAUGUAAACUGACGCAGGGGCUGACGUGACAGUGGCUGAUUGGCCCAAAGCAGGCGUGUGGCUCUCACACGCUGGCAGUGAGAGUGGGCUUUAUCCCACGCGGAGAGAGAAAGAGAAAAGGGAUAAUUAAUGCCACUUGGCUGUUUGUGAUUGCCUGGCCAGAUUUUUAUCCAUUUAAUACUUUGGACUCAAUUAUU